ensembl:lncRNA LINC01913 long intergenic non-protein coding RNA 1913
GGGCAACGUGGAGAGAUGUAGGAAGUGAACCUGAAGCCUGACACACUCAAGGUCUCGGAACCGAAAAUAAUAGGAAUUGUUCUUAUUUUUCCAGUGGAAUCAAGCACAGAGAUGGGCACGCCUCUUUACAGAACCAAAGAUUCAGAACUGUGCCUUACCCUUUGCUUAUGAGGCGGAGGAGGAGGAAGAGAAAGAACCACCGCAAAGAGAGAUGGCAACAAAGGCCUUCAAGUGACUGGAUGAGGCUCAUCCACAUUAUGGGUGGUAAUCUGCUCUACUCAAUGCUAACUGAUUUGAAUGUUAAUCACACCUUUAAAAAAUUGUCUUCACAGCAACACCUAGCUAGGUGUUUGACCAAAAACUGGGUACCAUGGCCUAGCCAAGUUGAUGCAUAAAAUUAGCCCUCACAACCUAGUGUUUGAAUCCCAAAUCAAAAAAUUCUUCUUAUAUUCUUAAUAUAAGAAUUUGUCCUCAACAGUCUCCCUGGGGCACAUAGAGAAAUUCUAGAAGAAUAGAAAACUUCUCUACAGAAGAUCCUCUCUAUCCCAAGGGGAAAAGCAGCUAAAGAUGAAUUCACAACCAAAAA